UUUUUUCCUAUCUUCU
rnacentral:sRNA from 1 species